CUCUUGCAGAGUAAAGGACAGGGACUCAGAAGUUCUGAAUAGUGGACUGUGAGGGAAGACAGAAGUAAGGCAGAUGUGUACUCAGAGGUGAGAAGUGUAUGCAACCUAACCCAAUCACGCUGAAAAAUGUGGAAAAUGGAAAUGCAUAAAGAAAGCUGCUGCCAAAGAGAAGAAUAAAGAAGAAAUAUUGAUGAAGCUCUGUCUGGAUUACGCAAAAUAUAUUCAGGGUAUAAGACAUGAAUAAAAUGGCUGAUCUUCUUGAAGAUCCACCCCACUACUUUAAACAACCGG